GGUCAACCACAGCUACCAGCAUGAACGACGGCGCUUCACAACACCGUCUGAACUGACCAGUCUGGUGAAAUUCUGGACUGGAUGGGAGACUCUACCAAGAACUCUCUCUACAGAAGUAGUGAAUGGCAGAUACCUGACAGCCUCCACCUGCUAUGAGACCUUACAUUCCCAGGACAUUACAAGGACUACACAUCAUUUAAGACUGACAUCCUGGCCUGUAUUUGCACUUGCCAGUCAAGAUAUGUUAGUAAGGCAGCAUCAGGAGACAAACAUGGAGGAAAUAUGAGAACAGAGAGAACCCAACCAGCAGGUCACAGUUUAUCAUCAUCUAAUCAUCUCCUGAAGUCGAUAUGGUCCCUCUCUAUCUCCCCACACAUCCACCAACCACUGGAACACAUCUCCAAAGUUCUGCCGGGCCAGCUCAGCUUCCCCUCAGAAGAAGUGCCGCCACCCGCCAGAUGAAGGAGCCUUUUGAGAGGCAGCUGGCAUCGUGAUUGGACUGUACUUUGGUCUGUUCCAAUCCAGCUUCAGCUCCAGAGACGGCAGGCGGGACGAGUCAACGGAGGCCGGGUGGACGAAGGCAUGCAGCUGAGUACAAUCCAGAAAACAACAGAGGAGGAGUGCAGUGGCCCAGAGCCAGAACAACCAGAGUAGCAUGACCAAAGAACUACAGACUCUUCACAACCUGCUCAAACUCUUGGUACAGGACCUCACCACACGGGUCAAGAAGGUUUCCGUCUCAUUUCUACUCUGAAGCUCACCUUCUCCUGCUCAAACUGCUGACAAAUGUUUCUUCUGCUCUAAAGUCUAGUCUCCAGAACUUCCUAAAAACUCUCAAAGUCUCUUCUGCUGCAGGUUGCUUUGUAGAACUGUUCCAGAAAACCUCACUAAACCACAUGGAGGGGCCUCAAGACAGUCGUCCAAAUGAAAACGUACAAAAACCAAACUAGCACAACCCAAACACUAAAGUCUCCUGCAGCCUACCAGAGAACCUCUGAGAACAGAGAAUCAGGACAGGAACUCUUACCUUCUGGACAACCAACGCUGGUUCUCAAACAAGAAUACAGAAUGUGUCUAACCAAAAACCUCUAAAGACUCACUACAGCCAAGAUAAAGACACAACUCAGCUGCAACAAAUCCACUAAUCACGGCACACAUUAGCACCAUGUGCUAACUGUGGCUAAAGAACCACAUUUACCAAGACAACUAUCCAGUACAAAGCCCUAAAACACACCAAGAAACACAUUAAAGACGAUUUUACUGCUGGAAGCUGCAAGCCAACGCCUAAAGCACAAACUAAAGCAAUGGAGCCAAACCCGGUUCAGUGGUGAAGACAAGCAGAGGAAAUGUUUGUCUGCAGCUCAAUAAAGCAGGAAGACACUGAGCUGCUCAGGUGUUCCUGAUAACACCAAGCAGCCACCUGGACAGCCAAUAGGAACACAGCUUACUGGAAGUCCAGAGGGCUGGCUUAGUGAAGGAAAUUUAGUUUAAAGUUGAAGCAGAAAGUUAACAAAGAAAAUUGAAAACCACCUUCUGAUACCUGAAAUCUCUGAGUUUUCACACAAAGAACACCUGAACAUGUCAAACUGGUUCCAUAGUAGAACCAUCAUUGUAAAAACGUCAUAGUAUGGUGUGUUGCUCAAAAAACAUUAGGACCCGGCUGUCAGGGGACAAACAUGUAAGAAACAUGAGAACAGAGAGAACCCAACCAGUAGGUCACAGUUUAUCAUCCCCCAGUCAUCUCCUGAAGUCCAUAUGGUGAGAGACAUCAGUAUCUGGUUGUUCAUUUACCAGAGGAUGCUUAUAAUCAUGCUGAUGUGGUCUGUACUCUACACUAUUUUAGUGACUCAAUAAAUGCCUCAGUCAACCCGCCCAGCCAUCAGGCAGAUGGGUCCCCCCACAUAAAGAGCCGGGUUCUGCUCGAGGUUUUUUCCCUGUUAAAAGGGUGUUUUCCUUGCCACUGUCGCCUUUUGGCUUGCUCUGGGGGUCAGGCAUAUUAGUUCUGUAAAGCGUCUCGAGACAAUUUGACUGUAAUUGGUGCUAUAUAAAUAAAAUUGAAUUUAAUUGAAUUGUUUUUUUAAAUGCUUUUUAGUUUUUAUUAAACAUUUAAGAGCCUAUAUGUAAUCAAUAAAUGGCCUUUGUCUAUCUUAAGAAAAAUUCACUCAGAACUCUGAUAUGUUAACAGUACUAAAUAAAUCAAUAAAUACAUGCAUACACACAAAAAUAAGUUAAUACGUUAACUGUGUUUAGAUAAGAUUUAGAUUUUUUUUAAAAAGUUAUGUUUUUGCAGAAUCCAGUAUUACUCACUGGUUGGUCAUUACUUUUUGUUAGUUUGAUUUCACUGUUUAAAAUGAUGCCACCUCUUUUCAGACAGAACCUGUGAUAAUAAAACAAUACAAAAUUUUUAGUUCCGUAUUAAUAAAGCACUUAAAGCUUUAAGUGUGGCUAAAUGCUUUUUUCAAAAUUAAACAUAUCACUCCUUAGGUGGUAGUGGCCCCAAGUUCAGUAAAGUUGGAAAGAUAUUCACAGAUUCGGGCUUCCAGCAUCAAUAACUCGUUAGAUAUAGGUUGUCAAAACAUAAACGGUGCCUCUUUCCCAUUGUUGCAAGGCAGACAAUGUGCUACAAGCCCAGUUUUAUCAAAAGUAGCUGUCUUUCAAGCUACAGGAAUAACAUUGGUGUCUAUGGAGUGAACAGGGUCCGUCUGCAAUUUGCAAAACCACUGCAACAGUAAAGAGAGACAAAUAUUCAAUAACUUCACUCUUAUACAUUGUAGUGUCACUAAAAUCACUGCAGCCUUCAACUGGCUCCUGUUGUCAAAGUGUUUUAACAGAAAUGUAAAUGCUGUAAUUUGAUUCUUUUAAUGAACCAUGUAACUUGAAUGGAUGUGAUGCUGGUGUGACCACAGUGCACACGUCUGAUGUUGCUCACAGUGGUCCAAGGGACGCUCAGGGAGUUUGUGUGUUUGCUCAGACUCAUGAAAAAUUACAGGGAACAUUGCUCUCCAGCAUUGAGAGUGUUUUAGGAAUUCAUUCAUUGUGUUGUGAACUUUGAAGGAGCAGAAACUUUACAGCUGCCAAAGAUAUGAGCUCCAAUUCUGGAUGUUUUAGGAAAUGAAGUUCAUCAAAUGAACACUUGAUUUUUGCUGAUAACUCUCAUUAAAUUACUGAAGAAAUCUAACAUAAAAACCUGUAAA